rnacentral:tRNA from 4 species
GGAGAGGUGGGUGAGUGGCUGAAACCAACAGUUUGCUAAACUGUCGUAGGGGUUAUUCUCUACCACGAGUUCGAAUCUCGUCCUCUCCG